GAUGAACGCUGGCGGCGUGCCUAAUACAUGCAAGUCGAGCGAACAGACGAGGAGCUUGCUCCUCUUACGUUAGCGGCGGACGGGUGAGUAACACGUGGAUAACCUACCUAUAAGACUGGGAUAACUUCGGGAAACCGGAGCUAAUACCGGAUAAUAUAUUGAACCGCAUGGUUCAAUAGUGAAAGACGGUUUUGCUGUCACUUAUAGAUGGAUCCGCGCCGCAUUAGCUAGUUGGUAAGGUAACGGCUUACCAAGGCGACGAUGCGUAGCCGACCUGAGAGGGUGAUCGGCCACACUGGAACUGAGACACGGUCCAGACUCCUACGGGAGGCAGCAGUAGGGAAUCUUCCGCAAUGGGCGAAAGCCUGACGGAGCAACGCCGCGUGAGUGAUGAAGGUCUUCGGAUCGUAAAACUCUGUUAUUAGGGAAGAACAAAUGUGUAAGUAACUAUGCACGUCUUGACGGUACCUAAACAGAAAGCCACGGCUAACUACGUG
rnacentral:rRNA from 1 species